rnacentral:misc_RNA from 1 species
AACGCAAAUUGCACUCUCUUCGGAGAGUAUGCCUGUUUGAGGGUCAGUAUUAAUAAAAAUCGGCGUGCUGCUCUUUUGUGACGUUCCGGAGUUUGAGUUAUCUUAACUGUUCUGGGUUUUAAGAGGCUUAAAAUUGACCUUUUUUUGUGCAUUUUAGACGUACAUAAAUUUUUUUUUUUUAUUCGUCUAUCUUUAAUGUCAAAAUCUAUUAGAUGCGACCAUAUCAUGUGGUUUCGUGUCCAUAAAUUUUUCAUGAUUUGACCUCAAAUCAGGUAAGAACACCCGCUGAACUUAA